rnacentral:rRNA from 1 species
GUGGGGAAUUUUGGACAAUGGGCGCAAGCCUGAUCCAGCAAUGCCGCGUGCAGGAAGAAGGCCUUCGGGUUGUAAACUGCUUUUGUACGGAACGAAACGGUCUGGGUUAAUACCCUGGACUAAUGACGGUACCGUAAGAAUAAGCACCGGCUAACUACGUGCCAGCAGCCGCGGUAAUACGUAGGGUGCAAGCGUUAAUCGGAAUUACUGGGCGUAAAGCGUGCGCAGGCGGUGCUGUAAGACAGGCGUGAAAUCCCCGGGCUUAAACUGGGAAUUGCGCUUGUGACUGCAGUGCUGGAGUGCGGCAGAGGGGGAUGGAAUUCCGCGUGUAGCAGUGAAAUGCGUAGAUAUGCGGAGGAACACCGAUGGCGAAGGCAAUCCCCUGGGCCUGCACUGACGCUCAUGCACGAAAGCGUGGGGAGCAAACAGGAUUAGAUACCCGGGUAGUCC